UGCUUGUCAAUUCAGAAUACAGACAAUGCUGGUUGUAAGUACUCUGGUGAUAUAAAUAUGUAGUGAAGUUGUAAUGGUGCUGAAGACAUUGAGGUGGUUUUGUCCUUGUAAAAUUGUGUACUUUUGAGAUGAUGUUGCUAUGAUGGGAUUGAGGUGUCAAGAAAAUCUAACCUUCCUUGUCAGGUUUGGAUGUGGGGUGCUGAAGCAAAGUCUUGAGAGGUGUGUGGUCUUGGACCUCAGCAUGGAGCGGCACUGGGAUCUAGAUCUUUGCUUUCUCUCCUGUUUGUAAGAAGCAAACACAGGUUUUGAAGUAAUGUUAGGUAGCAUGUGGAGCACCACAGCAAAUAUCUUUCAAGUCUCAUCUCUAGGGAUGGGAGGAAAAAAAGAAAGUUAGGUCUCUUAUGGUACAACUGGAAGACAUGAAGACUGCAGUGAUGAAGGUGAUAAAAUGCCUUCGUUUUGCAUGAGGAUCUUACUGAAUUUGAUGCUGCAUAGAGACAUGGCAAAAGAUCUUUCCCAAAGAAACAAUACUAAAUACCCAGAAGGAGUCGUUCAUUUGACAACCCAACUCAAAAUCAAUGAAUGUCGUAGUCACAAGGCUAUUACAAAUUACAAAUCUGAGUGAUGUAUGGAUCUAGCUGCCAUUGUUGUCUUUUUAAUUUUGUAUAUUGCAUUGAUUCUGAUAACCAGUGAGAAAAUUAAAUAUCACUUUUCUGUGCCUCUAUAAAACCAACACAGCAGAUAUUUUGAUUCUUUUGAACUUUCCUUAAAAGCCAUGUUUACUAGCCUCUGCUUGAUAUCUCUGUGCCCUCUCCUAGACUCUGCAGUCCACAUCUCUUCUUGGAGCAAAUCACUAGCCCCCAUGUAAAUUGAAACAGGUGUGUGUUGGUCUAGGAAAAGGGAAGACGCCCUAGGAAAAAAGGACAUAUGGAAGGGUUUAGAGGUAAAAGAUCUUUAAGAGAAUGACUUUCAGCCAACCUUUCCCCAUCUUGGACCUUUUUUCCCCUUCACUGAAGAUGUUCUGUAACUGUAAAUGCAUUUUGCCUGCAGAGUUGAGAAAUCUUGAGGUAGCUUUGCA
rnacentral:lncRNA from 1 species